rnacentral:ncRNA from 1 species
CCAGACCAGGAUUGACAGAUUGAUACCUCUUUCUUGAUUCUGUGGGUGGUGGUGCAUGGCUGUUCUUAGUUGGUGGUGUGAUUUAUUUGGUUAAUUCUGAUAAUGAAUGAGACUCUGGCAUGCUAACUAGUUAUGCGACCCCUAAGUGUGCAUGGUACGAAUCACCUGUGCCAGCCCCCAAUUGGGCAUGGCCAGCAUUUCCCCCUACACCACAUCUGCUUGGGUAUGGUCAGAAUGACAUAACAAGGAUCUAAGUAAGAGGCAGGCCCUCUUUUCUCU